CCUGUUGCUGCAGGGCAGAGAGGAGAGACAAGAACGAGCACGUGAGAAGAGAGGUGGCGGGGGCUGUCCUUCACAGGGAGUGCCUCCUUCACUGGGAGCGCCCUCCCCACCUGCUUCGGAGGCCGCUGGAGCUCAGCAGCAGCUGCGAACCCAGAGGUAUGGUGGGGCCGUCCUGGGACAGCGUCAUGGACUCCGCCUGGAGCACCGGUGUGACUUUUCACACCUCACGUGGGAAAAGGCUUUGAACACAACAUGCCUCUCAGCUCGUUGCAUCACGUGCCUCUGCUGACAAUGCAAGCAGGGUGGGAUCCUUGCCAACCGGCAGGAAGAAACCCGUCCAACCUCCUGACUGUGCAACGCAUGAUGUCAUGUGACACCAAGAUGUUUUUACGAGACUUCUGUCUGAGCUAAACCUGACGCUGUCUCGUGGCCCAGCGGGUGGAAAGCCAAGCAGGCCCAGCGCCAGCUGUGUUCUUGUUCUUUGCCCAUGGUGCUGCGAGGGGAAGGCUUUGGACGCAGUGUGCAAACAUGAGGCACGCAUGUAUACACACGUUCCCCGCUGUACACACGUGCCUCCUGCAGACACGAGACACAAAUCUGUGAGUUGGUCAGGAUCCUGGAGACCUUUCUAUGAAUGUCACAUCCUGCCCGUACCUGCGGGGGGACAGCAGCUUGAGGGUCCAUGUCCUCACAGCCUACUUCUAAAUGCACGUCGUAAUGAGUGCCAUUGAUCACUUCCGACUGACCUUUUGAGUAACAGCUGGCGCUGUGGCUGGGGAUGUGUGUGCCGAUGGGGCACCAUAUCACCCGGCUGACAGGAUGCUGUCAGGGAGGCUGGGAGGAGGGCAAGAAAUCACUUUGCUUUGCGAGCCAUAAUUAAAAAUAAUAGGCUGGUGCUCGUAGGGAGACAUGGUUGGCACGGCUCUAAUGUAAAACCAAUACAGUUUAUCUGGCAUCUUCUGAUUAUUUAUGUGCACCACAGCCCUUGCCGCAUCAACUAAUUAUCAGGUGGGGGGGGAGGCAGAGGAGAAUCAGAGAAAGAUAACGGGCAAUAAGGUCACCAUUAGGAAAACACUGAAGCCCUCUGCAGGAGGGUGAAGCGCGUUCCUGCCACUGGAAAGCUGACCCUCUCCUGCCUCUUACAGACUUCACACCGGGCCCCAGCAGAGUGCUCGGGGGAGAACCUCCCCCCCCCCGCCACGCCUUGGUUUGUGUGUCUAUGGUUAUGCCCAUAAUCACCGGGAGCCCAGGGAAUUCUGAGAAGUGAGGUCUCGGGGUGUUUACCGUUUGAGGAAAGUACUGUGAAACAGACUUGGUUGUUUUGAAGCGGAUGGUACUUACUGAAUUUGUCUGAAAACCAAGAAGCCAAAUAUACAAGUGACAUGCUUGUUAGGGAGGUGGGUGGUGUGGCGUGGGAACGAGAUGAACGAGAUGGAGACGUGAGUUCUGACCCUGGGGCCGUCCACUGCGCUGGACGAGACCCACGGAUCCAAAGUUUGAACCCCCGGCGUGACCUGAACCAAAUGGGCAUCGGCUGGUUGUCCCCCAACCCUCUCAGCCACGCCCAUUCCCCAGACAGCCAGCUGUGUGCUUGGAUUCAGUUACUUCUUUUCAGAUUGAUUUUGUGCGGCCCAGGUCUAAUGAACCCAAGUCCACAUCACUCUGAUUCCCUUUCGCUGAGCUGUUAUUCCUAGUAACCCUUAGCUUAGCAUCUGGCACGUUUAUCUAACCAAGUUCAAGUGGCUCAUCUGAGUCCCCCUGUACCCCGUGUGGGGCAAAGGGCAGCGGGGUGUCCUCUAGAGACGGAUGGAAGACUUGAAGGGCUCGUCCCGCCCGUCCAGGCCAACUACCACCUCGGCCUUGAUUCUCAGAAUGCUGCUGCUGGGUGGAGAUGGUGCUCAGGAAUAUUCUGGACAUGUGUCUUAGGUUUCCGUUGUACUCUGCAAAUCCCAAACCCACCGAAGAGCAGUCAGGGGGUUUGUCAUGAGCUCCCAAGUAGCGAGAGAGUCUGCUCACCCCAAGAUCCAGACCCCCCCACCCCGCCCCAGAGUGGCUAUAAUAUCAGCAUUCAUACAUCGCAACAAACUGGCCUUUCACAAGCUCCACCAGCCCUGACAAAGGAUCAAAGGUGGCCCCUUGGGAAGGCAACAGACGGAAUUCUUCCAAACCCAAUGCAAUCUUGCGCCACUCUGACCUUCUAAAAUGCUAUCAUGGUGCACUCUCGCGUUGUCGGAAUGGUAUUUUUGCAGAGAAAUUCGGCACUUAGACUGAUUCAGAAUCAAGCUGAUGAGGGAGCUGGGGGCACACGCAUUUUCCCCCCAUGGAAUCUGAAAGCACUGAAGCUGGCCUCAUUUCGUGUAAACCUCCACUUGGCUACCACGCCGAAAACCAUAAAUCUUAGAAACACCCAAUCUUUCAUCAAAGAUUGGGUGGCUUCGAGGCCUUUGCCACUCAGCUCCGAGUGGUACGCAAGUUAGAUCUCGUCACCGCCGGUGCCGGUUCUGUGCGAGAAGCCAGUACCGCAGGGCACCUGAAAGCGAAGACCAGCUUCUCCCCUCCGAAGACCAACUGUGCACGCCUGGCAGAGACCGGGCGGCAAAGGGGUGACCCUGACGGCAGCACCCGGGGUCCAUCUUUGUACGGUCGGAGGCAAUGACGCUGCAACAACAAGCGCUAAUUGCCGGCUCGUUGGCGGUUUGGCCUGCCGACGCUCAAGAGCCGGGAGCCACAUUAGGAAAGCUCAUUAGGAGAUAAGCCGGCGUGGCUGCUACAAGAGAAAACGGUUUUAAACUGAUAGAAGAAAAAUUUUUAAAGCGCCCUCUCAUCACCGUCAGACGACUUUCUUGCCACUUUGUAGAGGGCGGGGGGACAUCAGCACAUAAUUCAGAGAAGAUGAAAGCGCCCCAUGAAGGAGACGAUGUUAACAACUCUGUGAUGAAAUAUCUGAGGCUGUGCCUUGCUUCCUUUCACCACUGCUUGCUGAUCCGCUGUGAUAAGAUAAUAGCAGUAUCUUGACAUACAAACGUGGGCUGGGGCGGGGGUUCCUCUUGGUGAUUUUAAGAACAGUUUAUGGGGAGUCUGAGCCCUGGGGCGCAGCAAGUCUGUCCUGCACCAGGGGUAGAGAGGGAGGGUGUGGAUCACUGCGGGGGGGUGGGGGGGUGGGCGCGGGGUGGGGGGCUGAGGAUUUCUGGGAAGCUGGGAGAAUCUUUAAUCACGCCUAAAUGCCAUUUCUGAUUCAGUCAAACGUCUGCGAGCUGCCUGAGGAGAACGACACCAUCCAUCUCUAUAGCGUAUGUAAAAUCACCCGGGAUUCUUGUUUGGGAUUUUUAAGAGUAUCUGGGUAAUGAGGGUUCAUCAUUCUCUUUCAGAAAUCAGUUGUCAGCUGAGCGGCACCGUCUCCAACUACAGAAAGGUGGGAUUUAGACAGCGGUUUGCUAUUUGUUUAUUGUUGGGGCCUUGAGAUCUAAACUAUCCAUCCUCCCCAAGCCCUUGGCUGGGAUGAAUCUGUUGAAGUAGCCGCUUUUCAUCCACAGUUGUUUGAUAACCACUAGCCAUCAGUUUGCAGCCAUCAGCACGGAAUACAGAUGAAUAUUGACUCUUUGAAAGAGAAAGUUAUGGGAGUUUCAGAUCGACAAUCCAGGCUUAAAGAAAACCUCCCACAAAGUAGUAUUUGUGAUGCGUUGGUAGGUUCCCUAAUAUAGCUCACGUUUUGAUAAGGACACGUUACAGCAUUAUGCUUCGUUUUCAGGUUUCUCUAGUUUUAUAAUGCAUGCUUCUUUUUUUUUUAAAAAAAAAAAAGAAUAGAUAUCUGUCUUAAAACAGAUUUAACUCUGAGACAUAAAAAAGCAGACGCACUGUCAUGGGUGUCCGUGUGGUCAGUGGUUUUGAGAGCAGGCAGGGGUCCCACAGCUGCUUCCCCAGGACAGAGGCAGGACCGGGGACCCACGGCGGGGGAAGGAGCGGUCCUUCUGGGCGGGUGCUGAGGAGGCGCUGGGUUCCCGGGACAGAGGACCUUGCCAGCGCCACAGAGGAGGAGACGGGUGCCUCUCUGAACUCCCAAAGCUUCCCCCCGUUGCUCAUCUGCGGUCUGUGGGGCCGCAGUGUUUGCUAACUUCCCCAGGGCACGAGCCGUCGCGCUCCCGUGAGUACGGCGAGUCCUGCACCACGCAGCGCGGUGGAUGUGGGGCAGCGGACACAGGGGUCCGGUGGGACACCCCGUCUCCCAGGUGUUGCUUAGUCGCUCAGUCAUGUCCAACUCUUUGAGACCCUACGGACUGUAGCACACCAGGCUCUCCUUUGUCCACGGGGACUUCCCAGGCCAGAAUACCGGAGUGGGUUGCCAUUCCCUUCUCCAGGGGAUCUUCCAGACGCAGGGAUCGAACCUGUGUCUCCUCCACUGCCAGUGGGUUCUCUGCCACUUGAGCCACCAGGGAAGUCCUGCCAAAAGUUUCCAACCCCCUCUCCUGGUUAACUGUGGUGCGGUAUUUCAGAUUCAUCUCCUGAGACCAUGGGGCUGGGAACACAGCUGUUCCUCAAACAAUACCGUUUGGUUAUGGAGAGAAACCAAAGCAAGCUGCUCCACAAGGUUAGAUGUACCCUACUCACCAUCUGAGAACAGUCUUUUAAGCCAACAGACGAGCCACGUGUUCCCAGAGACACCCAGCGUGGAGGGCAGUGGGGCUCCCCGCCCGGGGGACCACGACCAACACAGAGCCCUCGGGCUUGGGUGUGGAGUCCCGCGCUCACCAGGAACAGACCCACGUCCUCCAGGAUGACGAGAGGUGGGAGAAGACGGAGAUCGUGACUCGAGGGGACUCUCGGCCUCCACCCGGGCGAGCUGUCCCAGCCUGUUCAAGCGGUGACGAUGGGGGCACCGACUGCGAGCCUGCACUCCCCCGGUGCUGGGCAGGGAGCUCUGUGAUGGGCAUCACGUUCUAGCCCCAGGCAGCUCUACAGGCUGGGGAUGGUUGCCAUCCCCACCUACAGAGGAGCCCACUUCAUACCAGAGCUCACACGCCACUCCUCCGGGGCCACAUCGACUGACCCCAGGAACCCAGAGCAGCUGCAAUAGGAAGCCGCCUUCCUGUGCCCGCGCUCCCGUCUGCACACCAUGCACCCCGCGCCUCCCGGGCAGCGGAGUCGCCUCAGGGGCCCCCUCCCUUCCUCCCAGCCGGGCCUGGCUGAACCCCCGUGUGCGGCCCUGACAUGGCCCAAGAUGAAAUGUAGUCACAGGCUGUCAGGCGCUCACCCGGGAAGUGUAAGGAAGAGAUUUUCCCACUGUUGAUUUAGGCAGGCCACUAAAUUGAAAUUAUAUCCAUUUGGAUUAACAAAACUGAAGACUCAGCGCCACCUCAGAAGAGCCAAGAGCCAAUGACCCCUAACGAAGCCAUCGCCUGAUUUAAAGUGCCACCUCCAUCCGCCAGACUGGACCAGCCAGGAAUCCACUGCUCCUAAACAACACGGACGUUUUCCAAAGUGUGAGUGGAACUACAAGACCAGGGAAACCCAAGCAAUCUCCAGCUUAUGAAUUCACAGAUGUGCAAAUGGGUGUGGCCUUUUGGAGGGUGCCACCUGACAUGUUCCAGCCGGUGUGCAGAGGAGACUGCCCCAUCUCCCCUUCUCCUGCCCCCCACCCCCGGCCCCGAUUCAUUGUCAACAAACAUCCCUACAAAUGCCUAACCACUGACGUGUCCAGACAGCGCACACUUAGAUACAGGCAAAUUCCUCCUGUAGGGAUCAAAGUGUAACUUCCUUCACAGCCCUCAGGAGGUUUGCUAACGCACAGGCUGUCCUCAGGAUUGGUUACAGGAGGGAAAUCCAGACUCAACUUCUUAAACAGAAACAGGGAGGAGGGCCAGGAAAGAGGCCAGAAAAGUCGGCGACAGUGCACUGGAGAAUCCCUAGGAUCACGCUCAGUCCUGAGCUUGAUGGAAGAGAAGGUGUACCUUCCGCAGUGUGCAGGGGCGUUCACCUCUUGCUAAGAGAGUCACGAGGGUGGAGGACCUCAGAGGUCCCUUCCCAGUGUCUGUCUCUCCCGUCCUUCCCCGGGUGGCACAGGACGCAGUCUGGGAGAGCUCCAUGGCAGGUGCUCUGGAGGAGAGUGAAGCCGUGGGUCAUGCCAGCCCAUCACCACCAACGCAACUGGUCCUGGCACAGGACACAGCCCCAGGAAGCAGAUGCCCAUCUAGGGAGACGUCUGGGGCGAGGCCACACAGGGGACAGAGGUUCCAGGGAGCCGCGUACGUUCACAGGCCUCUGCUGGGAGAGAAGCCCGAUGACAUGGACGCUUUCCCGUUUGCAGUCCAGGAACCCCAAAUCCUCAUCAGGCUACAAAAAUCACGUGGUAUCCUUGACAAAAGUCACUCAUCUCUAGCAAGAUCAUCAAGGAGGCUGAAGAGACUGACUUGAAGACCAGGGAGGAAUGAGUUGGGAAGUUAGGAGAACAGCUGCUACGAUGCUCCGAGAAAUCUGUGGAAGCAAGCCCAGGGACCAGUGGGCUCAGGAUGGAAAGCUGGGAAGGCUUUGUGAAGGCAGGAGAACAAAUGUCUUCAUGAGCCUAAGUUAGGGGAGGGAGAGGCAGCCACUUUCAGCCAUUCGCAGAGGCCCAGGGCUGUGUUUGUUCUGGAGAGCAAGGCUCCAGAGGAUUUUUUGCUUAGUCUCAGCAGCAGCAGUGCAGGGAAGAGUGACCUCGGGAGGUUUUCAGGACUCUGUUUUCAAUGGGAUGACCUUUUCUCAACUUGCCUUGACAUCAACGAGGCCCUUUCCAUACCCCUUACAUGUUCCAGGAUCCUUGCCCAAAGUGUUACAAGGAUUCCAUGACAGACGGAUGGCUGGUCUCGCGAGAGAGUGGAGGUGGAAUACUUAGAAUGGUUUCCUUUUUCUGAGACCUGCUGGUAUUGUGACAUCCCAGAUGUGCUCCGCUGGAGCAGGAGGUCGUCCAGAGGAGGGAAGGGAAAAGGAACGACUGAGUACAGGCCAGGUUACUCUGCAAUGGAUCUUAGAACUCUACCACCAAAAUACACAUGGUUCUCCUACCUGGGACGAAUCUGAUGGCCCAUCCCUGAAAUUUUCCAUCCCGGCCACCUGGACAAGACUGAAGGACUGCUGAGUGUUUAUAGAAAGCUCAGAGAAGAUAUUUAGCCUGUGUUAAUUUGUAACAUUUUACAUUUUUACUUCUUUGACCCACAUUCUAGCUAGCUCUGUAAUACUGUACAUAAGUGUAUGCCUCCGCAUUUGCCAUGUAUACUGAAAUAAACCUUUGAAACUAU